AUCCCACGCUGCCAAGAAAAGCUUCUAGCGUUAAUAUAUGACUGCCCGUACUGUAAACCGACACAGGUGGUCAGGAUGAGAAAUCUAAGGCGGACAGGCUAACUCUCGUUAAGGAACUCUGCAAAAUAACCUCGUAACUUCGGGAGAAGAGGAGCCCUUGGGUGUUAGUAUCCAUGCGAUACAAAGCGCUCGAGGGUCGCAGUGAAGAGGCUCAAGCAACUGUUUAACAAAAACACAGGUCUAUGCUAAGCUGGAAGGCGAUGUAUAUGGGCUGACACCUGCCCAGUGCUGGAAGGUUAAGAGGAGGAGUGAGAGCUCCGAAUUGAAGCCCCAGUGAACGGCGGCCGUAACUAUAACGGUCCUAAGG
rnacentral:rRNA from 1 species